rnacentral:miRNA from 1 species
AAGUGGAAAGCCAGCCUGAGAU